GACUAGGAGUUUUUCAACUCCAUUAAUCAUUUCAAACAAGAAUCUUU
rfam:Ictidomys tridecemlineatus contig011629, whole genome shotgun sequence.